GGAUUGUAGCUCAGUGGUAGAACACUUGCCUAGCAUGUGUGAGGCACUGGGUUCAAUUCUCAGCACCA
rnacentral:tRNA from 1 species